GGAUCCGUGGCGCAAUGAUAGCGCAUCUGACUCCAGAUCAGAAGGCUGCGUGUUCGAAUCACGCCGGAUCCA
rfam:Selaginella moellendorffii unplaced genomic scaffold SELMOscaffold_7, whole genome shotgun sequence.